CCCUUAGAUGUCCUGGGCCGCACGCGCGCUACACUGAGUGUCUGAGAUACGAGUCUGCCUGGUCCGACAAGGUCUAGGUAAUCGCUAAAAGACACAUCAUGCUUGGGAUAGAUUAUUGCAAAUAUUAAUCUUGAACGAGGAAUUCCUAGUAAGCGCAAGUCAACAGCUUGCGUUGAUUACGUCCCUGCCCUUUGUACACACCGCCCGUCGCUACUACUGAUUGGAUGUUUAAGCGAGGUUCUCGAACUGCUAGCGACUUAGCUUCGGUGAGGUCGCAGUGUGGGAAGUGAACCUAGCUUUGGUGUCUAGAGGAAGUAAAAGUCGUAACA
rnacentral:rRNA from 1 species